ACUGAUCUAAAAGGAAAUGCUAAAAUACCCAACCUCUCAUGUCCUCCACAACACUGCACUCUCAUUGGCCGAUCAGUGACAGAUGUGUCCAAUCACAGCAUUGUCACACCUCAGCACUGUAUAAAAGUGCCUUACUCUAGUAGUUUUCACACACACACCAGCUGUACCCCAGAACUGGAUGAGCCAAGACAAAAAAAAAUACUGAAGUAUUAAGAAACAGGAUACAGAAGGCAGAAACUGAGCAAAACCUGAGGAAAGAAACAGUCAUCAGCAAACGCUUUUCAAAACACUGAAAAUGGGAAAUGAUAACUCUGCUGAAA